rnacentral:rRNA from 1 species
UGCCUUACACAUGCAAGUCGAACGGCAGCACGGGGGCAACCCUGGUGGCGAGUGGCGAACGGGUGAGUAAUACAUCGGAACGUGUCCUGUAGUGGGGGAUAGCCCGGCGAAAGCCGGAUUAAUACCGCAUACGCUCUACGGAGGAAAGGGGGGGAUCUUAGGACCUCCCGCUACAGGGGCGGCCGAUGGCAGAUUAGCUAGUUGGUGGGGUAAAGGCCUACCAAGGCGACGAUCUGUAGCUGGUCUGAGAGGACGACCAGCCACACUGGGACUGAGACACGGCCCAGACUCCUACGGGAGGCAGCAGUGGGGAAUUUUGGACAAUGGGCGAAAGCCUGAUCCAGCAAUGCCGCGUGUGUGAAGAAGGCCUUCGGGUUGUAAAGCACUUUUGUCCGGAAAGAAAACGCCGUGGUUAAUACCCGUGGCGGAUGACGGUACCGGAAGAAUAAGCACCGGCUAACUACGUGCCAGCAGCCGCGGUAAUACGUAGGGUGCAAGCGUUAAUCGGAAUUACUGGGCGUAAAGCGUGCGCAGGCGGUCCGCUAAGACAGAUGUGAAAUCCCCGGGCUUAACCUGGGAACUGCAUUUGUGACUGGCGG